rnacentral:misc_RNA from 1 species
GCCGACAUUCCCCAGAACCGCGCUGCACGAUGCGGCACGCGACGCUAAAAGUUACUUGGCAGCCACCGUGCGACACCAGCGUACAAGGAUAUUGAGCUCGCGAGACGGCAGCCGACGAUGCUUGCCCAGCUGCGCGCGUGCAGGUGUCUGUACGGUUGGUUCCUGCAGCGGCGGGUGACUGGAGGUGACCGCAUGAGGUGCCGAUGGUGUGCCGCCUACUACACCGCUGGCACCGUGGGGGUACCCCUGCGCCUCCUGGUGACAUGAACGGAACUGCCAGAUGGAGACAGCGAGCCACCCGGGCAGCAGCGUUGCCCUGAGGCAGGCCCCGGCCCCGAAAACGCGCGCCCCGCGCGCACGCGCUGCGAAUGGCCGCUGGCACGGUGUAUCCCGCCCAAGCAAGGCAUGGAGCGGUGAGCAGGGCGCGGGCGACGGUGGAGAGGGGCGCGCAGAGAUGCACAGUGAUGAGCCCCAAAGUGCAUGUGUGGGGAACGUGCGGCAUCUCCUGCAUCGGACCUGGUGGGCUGAUGUGGCGCAGAUGCCGGAAGCAUGAGGGGGCCACCCCGGGCUGCACCGUCGAGCCCCCGCAGACUCCGAUGUGGAGAGUCGCCGCACCACAUUGAGGAAUGCCGCGGCCUGAGGGGACGGAGGGAGAAGCAUGGCACACAGGCAGAGUGUGCGGGGUCUCCGAGGUAAGUAAAAUCUGAAAAGGGCUCACAUGAAGUGGAGUUGAAGCUGCUCCUGGUUCGCCCUAUGUUCUAUUGACCGUCUUAUCGAUGGAUUUUUCCAGUGAAGAGGUAAGGUGUACGGAUUUCACGGUGAUAGGGCGAUCCCUUACCGUGCAUCUUAUCUUGUCUUCCCUUCACGUAGUGGAGAGGAAGGAUACGGGAUGAUGGACUCAGCGGAGCUUAUCAUAAAGGACCGCGCGGGGGACGUGGGGAGUUGCUUUUUUUCUUCGUUACUCUCGCGUCUCUUCCCCUUCCCUGUGCAUCCUCUGGAGUGCGCGCGCUUGUGCGGCGCACGUGUUCUAAUCUGCUUGCAGCUAUUGCCUUCUCGACUCUCGUUGCACUUCCCUCCCCGCUACUUACCCCUUCUUUGCGUCUCUAUAUUGUGCGUCCCGAACGUGUUUGCUUUUAUGUCUGGCGCGCAAAUCGGCUCAUGCACACACACGCACCACCGCCACCACCACAG